rnacentral:misc_RNA from 1 species
AACUGAUACUACCUGCGGGAACCUGCGGAGGGAUCAUUACCGAAGUUACUCUUCAUCAAACCCUUAUGUGAACUCUACCUCUCGCCGCGCGGUUGCCUCGGCGGGGAGGUCUGGGGGCGCCGUGGGGAAGGCCGUCCGCGGCUUUUCCCCGGCCCGCCCCGGGCCCCCCCCGCCGGCCGCGCCCAACUCUUCUUCUGCAAAGCGGACUGCAUGUUCUGAUUACACUUAAAAAAACAAGUC